UACGUAGGGGGCAAGCGUUGUCCGGAAUCAUUGGGCGUAAAGAGCGCGUAGGCGGUCCGGUAAGUCCGCUGUGAAAGUCAAGGGCUCAACCCCUUGAAUGCCGGUGGAUACUGUCGGGCUAGAGUCCGGAAGAGGCGAGUGGAAUUCCUGGUGUAGCGGUGAAAUGCGCAGAUAUCAGGAGGAACACCAAUGGCGAAGGCAGCUCGCUGGGACGACACUGACGCUGAGAGCGCGAAAGCGUGGGGAGCGAACAGGAUUAGAUACCCCUUGUAGG
rnacentral:rRNA from 1 species